rnacentral:rRNA from 1 species
GAUGAACGCUGGCGGCGUGCCUAACACAUGCAAGUAGAACUGAGAGGCUCUAGCUUUCUGUGGUGGAUAAGUGGCGAACGCGUGUUUACCACGUUAGCAUCCUGCCCCUGCCUCUGGUAUACGCCCUGGACGCGGCUCCUAAUGCUGGGUACGUGACUGCCCAGCCUCGGCCUCUGAUGGCUAGUUGUUCGGUUUGCGAUGGGCUCGCGGUCUAUCAGCUUGUUGGUGAGGUAAUGGCUUACCAGGCCCACGACGGGUAGCCGGCCGGAGAGGGCGACCGGCCACACUGGGACUGAGACACGGCCCAGACUCCUACGGGCGGCAGCAGUGGGAAAUAUUGCACAAUGGGCGAAAGCUUGAUGCAGCGACGCCGCGUGAGGGCUGACGGCCUUCGGGUUGUAAACCUGUGUCAGCAGGGAAGAAGCGACAGUGACGGUACCUGGAGAAGAAACACCGGCUACCUACGUG